GAUGAACGCUGACGGCGUGCCUAAUACAUGCAAGUCGAGCGAACGGACGAGAAGCUUGCUUCUCUGAUGUUAGCGGCGGACGGGUGAGUAACACGUGGAUAACCUACCUAUAAGACUGGGAUAACUUCGGGAAACCGGAGCUAAUACCGGAUAAUAUUUUGAACCGCAUGGUUCAAAAGUGAAAGACGGUCUUGCUGUCACUUAUAGAUGGAUCCGCGCUGCAUUAGCUAGUUGGUAAGGUAACGGCUUACCAAGGCAACGAUGCAUAGCCGACCUGAGAGGGUGAUCGGCCACACUGGAACCGAGACACGGUCCAGACUCCUACGGGAGGCAGCAGUAGGGAAUCUUCCGCAAUGGGCGAAAGCCUGACGGAGCAACGCCGCGUGAGUGAUGAAGGUCUUCGGAUCGUAAAACUCUGUUAUUAGGGAAGAACAUAUGUGUAAGUAACUGUGCACAUCUUGACGGUACCUAAUCAGAAAGCCACGGCUAACUACGUG
rnacentral:rRNA from 1 species